AUGCUGCCAAUCUGCUAUUUUACUUUUGUACUCUGCAGCCUGGCUUGGCUCUCUUCUUCCUUGGAGUGCAAUAGGACGCAGUAUCCCUGGCCAGUAGUGUCGCCCAAGUUUUGCUGUAACAUGUGUCCACCAGGUCAUCGCAUGAUCCGGCGAACAAAUGACGUGUGUGGCAUUACAUGUGAAGCCUGCCAGGACAACCAGUACAUAGAGGCUCACAAUGUGGAGAUGAACUGCAAGUUUUGUGAAGUUUGUAACAAAGAAAAUAUGGUGUACAAGUCAAAUUGCAGUGCCACUCAUAACGCUGUGUGCGCAUGCAAAGCUGGGUACAGAUGCGAGAACCAAGACUGCACUGCAUGUGAGCUGAUCCCAACCACCACCAAGAAACCCACCCUCCCUCCGCCAACUAAAGCCUUGAAACCUACAACGCCGAGUGCACCCCCUAAACCAAUGGGAGAUAAGGUGUGGUUCCUGGUGAUAAUUGCCCUCCUUUGUGCUGGGAUCGCACUGGCUGUGGUAACAAAAAUCAAGCCGUUUCUACGCUGGACCAGAUCCAUUUAUGGCUACUUUCUGCCAGACAAACAGGAGCAUACAGAUGAUGCUGACAUAGAGGAUAAUGACAUGCCAAAGCCUGUUCAGGAAGUCUGUGGGAAAUGCGACCAACCUAUUGAAGUAUGAUAUAAAAGACUAGGACCCGAACCUGAUGAGGAAUUACAGGACACAGAGUGUCACAAAGUUGUGGACAACUUUCGUCAAACGGAGCAGCACAGCCCUCUGACAAAUGGAACCACAGAAGAUGGUUCAAGGCCAGCUGUGCUUCCUGAGAGGACAGAAGAACCUGUGACAUCUGUAACUGUUUAGAAACACUGAAAGCCUGAACAUAAAGGUUUGGACAGUGACUAAGCAUGACUAGGAAAUUUUGUAACAUAUUUGGAAGGUACUUUGGCACACGAUAUUCAGAUGCUUACCUUUGUAUGUAUGUAUAUAUAAAAAUGCUUUUAGAUACAUUUUUUUCAUUUCUUUAUUAAAAAUAAACAUUCUGUUUAUAC
rnacentral:lncRNA from 1 species